GCCCGGCAGCCGCCCCUGCCCUAAAAUCUUGGGAAAAAACUGUCACGGAUGGAACAAAGGAAGCGGGGGCACUUCGCCGCUGCCUCGCAAUGGCGCGAGCCCAGCUCUUCUCGGCCGCUCCACAAAUCCUGUGGGGAGUGGGGCUCCCUCCCGGCCUCCCGCCAAGGAGCGGGCAGGCUCUCCCCGGCCGCUCCGGCCCCGGGCCGCCCCGCGCCCGCCCUCAGCCCAAGCCCCGCGCCUGCUCAACGCCGAACACCUCAGAAAUGUUCGCAGACUAGUGUGCUUUUCGCCACCAACGAACAAUCUCAGCCAGCGGCCAGCAGACGCACAGACACACACAAGCACAGCCCGCCUCCCCUCCAGCAGAUCUGGGAUAGGUUGGAAAAGCGGCGAAAGAAAAAAAGCUCUUGAGAAAUCACUCCAAGGGCAAAUUCCCCCACCACCGCGGCAGGCUGUCCCGGGAUUGCUGACAAUUACUGACCUUACGCAGACACACAAUGCACACACAAUACACACACAGCUGCAAACAACAUACUACACAACAAAAAGAGCUACUUUCAUAUUACCUCCUGCGGGAUCUUGAAACCGUGGUAUCUCAGCCUCAGGCCACUUCACGGAAUUCUUGAGAUUGCUGGCAGGAAAGAAUCCUUGCAGGAUGUUUUCGGUCCAGAGUUUGUGGGCUGUCUCUAACCUGAGAAGGGCAGUUCUUCAGACAAAACACUGAAAAACCAAGGAUGACGUACAAAUACCCUUCAAUGGCUUCUAGCAAAACUGAUGAAUGCUUUUGUGUUCCUGCAUCUGUCAGAUUAAUACUUCCAUGACGAAAAAGUACAAGAAACAACAUACUAGUGAAUUCUCUCAUUGCUUACCCUAUUAUGAACAUCUGGUUAUCACCAGAUUUCUUAUAUGACUGUGUGGAGUACCCCAAGUGUAGAUGCCUAAAUGUAUGUAUGGAAAAGCUGUGUCACACAGCUUGAUAAGCUCAUACUUGUAACUUUCAAGUGUUCAGCUACAAAGUAAAUUAAUAUUUUAAAAGCAGUUUGUAGGUUGCUUAAAGAAUUUUUGUGUGCAAAUGUUGCCCAAUGAAGAGAGUAAAAAAGAAAUGCACUUUCCAACUAAAUGUACCCAA